rnacentral:rRNA from 1 species
AGUAAUACCGGAUACGGUCGAGAGACGAAAGAUUUAUCGCCGAAGGAUCGGCCCGCGUUGGAUUAGGUAGUUGGUGGGUAAUGGCCUACCAAGCCGACGAUCCAUAAGCUGGUUUGAGAGGAUGAUCAGGCCACACUGGGACUGAGACACGGCCCAGACUCCUACGGGAGGCAGCAGUGGGGAAUCUUAGACAAUGGGCGCAAGCCUGAUCUAGCCAUGCCGCGUGGUCGAUGAAGGCCUUAGGGUUGUAAAGAUCUUUCAGUGGGGAAGAUAAUGACUGUACCCACAGAAGAAGCCCCGGCUAACUCCGUG